CUCUUCUUUAUUUACCCAUCAUCUUAGUAAAGUAUAAUAUAAUCUACAAUAUAAAAAAACAGUUACUUCAUUUAGCUAUUGUAAAUAUGCUUAGAAAUACAAAUCGUAAUUUUGUUAUUCCAUUCUUCUAAAAUUCCAGGUCCAUUAAAUUUCAUUAAAUACAAGCUUUUUGAUUCGGAAUUAAUUUUGAUAUAUUUUUUCAUUUUACCAUGUGUUACAAUCUCUAUAUUGUUAACUUAUCAUUUUACAGUUCAGUACAGUCACCUGCAAUAAUAUGUUUCUCUUCGAAGGCCGCAAAAAUAUGUGACAAGCCGUUAUGGCUCUACAAAUAAGAUCGUGUCAGAUAUUAUUGCGGCCUUUAUUGCGUAACAUAUUAUUGCAGGUGACUGUACCAUAUAGUCAACAGGAGCCAUAUAACAGAGAUAGAGGGACUUAUAAAUCUACAAAAAGAAUUUGUGGUUCAAAGCCGAAUGUGGUUUGCCAUCUCAUUUGAUCAUGCACCGUAUGCAGGGAUGCUGCUGUCGUCGGCUAUUCAAAAUUUAACCCUUCGCGGGACAUGUUUAUUUCGAAUUCAAUGGGGUUGGCCGGUGGAAGUUUUUAGCAGAUGGCGCCACCAUAGCUUGCCCUGUCAAUCCCUAGAAUUGUGUCAAUUUUUUUUUUAAUACCCUGGGCCCUGGAUGCCAGCCCUUUAAGCCAAAUCUCAUAGAAAAAGGGGCAAGUUAUGAUGGCGCCAUCUAUGCAAACGUUUGACAGUUGCCAACCCCAUUAUUUUACAGAAAGUUAUAACUCACAUUAUAGACGGGUCUGCCCGACCCGUCUAUAAUGUGAGUUAAUAUGUAUUCAAAACGCGAAAGUUUAAAAUGUUAGAAAGUUAUAAUUCCAACAACAAUAAAAUGAUGAAUGUCGCCUGAAAGGUUAACUUUUAGUACUCUAUUAUUGAUUAUACCUAUUUAUAGCUAUCUACAUUCUGUUUUAAUAGCAAUAAAUAAAAAAUAGAUAUUUAAUGCUAUGAACGGGUUUACCUUGAUACAAUUUCAUAAAAUAAUAAAUAAUGAAAUUAUAUCGCGAUAGAACCGUUCACAGCAUUAAAUAUGUGUACAAGACGUGACAGUUUAAAGUGUAAUAAAUAAAAAAAGAUUUGUGAAACGUAAGGCUACGGAACCCGUCCAAUGUGUAUUGUGUCUCAUAUUUUGCUUAAUGAGAGAGUGAGACGCAAUGACAUAGGACAGGUGGAAUACCACCCUAAGGAGUAUUUGAGUGCCUAAUUCCGAAUCACUAACGAAUGUCGGGUAAUUUCGGAAUAGGACUCUGAUAUCGAAAUAAUUAAAUAUGGGCGGUUUUUAAAAUUAAGAUGCAUUCACUGUGGUAACUUUUGUGGAGCAACAGUAACUAUAGUUCGUUUUUUUAGCAUUAGAAAAGAGGUAAAUCUUGACGUGUCUUUUUAUUGAAAACACUUGAAAAAUCGGUAGUCAGCAGGCAGCGAAGUCACGGCAAAUAUGUAACAUUUAUGAAUCAUAAGUAAUAAGUAGUUACUGAUUU